UACGAAGGGGGCUAGCGUUGCUCGGAAUUACUGGGCGUAAAGGGCGCGUAGGCGGCACUGUUAGUCAGGCGUGAAAGUCCUGGGCUCAACCUGGGAACUGCGCUUGAUACGGCAGAGCUAGAGGAUGGAAGAGGCUCGCGGAAUUCCCAGUGUAGAGGUGAAAUUCGUAGAUAGUUGGGAAGAACACCGGUGGCGAAGGCGGCUCACUGGCCCGUUACUGACGCUCAGGCGCGACAGCGUGGGGAUCAAACAGG
rnacentral:rRNA from 1 species